AUUUUGUUUCGAGAGUGAUGGGAGAGAAGAGAGAGGAGUUGUUGAUGGGUUAAGAUUGUAGUUGCAGUUAUGAAAUAAGUGCCUUUUAUGAAAUGUAAAAUACGCAACUGUUUCCAUUGAAUGAAUGUAUGAUAACAAAAAAACCAUUCAUUCAUUCAGACAAAAAAAAAAGAAGAAUAGGCAUUACAUUACAUAACAUUACACCACAUUUCAAUAGAGGGAGAUAGUUUUUUUUAUCUCUCUCGUCCUUUACGUUGUUGUUCUUUUUUGGCUUUUUGGAACAAAUUAAUUAACAGCCAUGGAUGACAAGGCUUCUGUUUCCAAAGAGCUUAAUGCCAAACAUGCAAAGAUAUUGGAGGGCCUUCUUAAGCUUCCAAAAAAUAGGAAAUGUGCAGAUUGUCGGUGAAGGGCCCAAAGGUAGGCGAGCAUCAACCUUGGGAUAUUCAUUUGUUUGCAAUGUUCAGGAAUUCAUAGGAGUCUUGGGGUGCAUAUCUCUAAG